rnacentral:lncRNA from 1 species
UCUUUUUCCUCCUAGAUUAGGGAAAAUUGAAAAUGUUACAGAACUAUUGAUUAGAUUCUUGUUCUUGAAGUUCUUACAUCCUGCUCUUCUGGAAGCCCUUCYAGGAGACAUUGAGGUGGUCUGUAUUCUGUCACCCUGCUGCAGGCUGUGAUGCUCACAUAGCYGUUGAYGGUGUUGAUGGGAAAGACGCUGCCCCAGCAGUACGCAGUCUGAAUUCCACUUAGCCCUUUGCCACAACAAGAGAAAGGCUUCUCCAGCAAUUCCUUCAAAGAUUUCAUACUGUGGUUUGUCCAUGCUGGUAAAAGACUUGGAGAAUCCCAAUAGCAUUGUGCACGUGCUGACAGGUUCUUCUUCGUGCUACAGGCCUACGUGAGCCCAGCUGAGCCAGGGCUAAAACGCCUGAGGAAUCCACCGGCAUCUUCCUUCCUUCACGCCACAGUCUAGGUACGGUAAUUACAUAACGUAGGCUAUCUGCUGAUUAUCACAAUGUAGAUGGUCACAACAUAGAUUAUUUGCUGAUUAUCACACUGUAGAGGACUGCUGCUGUGAAAUGAUAGACACUUGGGAGGAAUCUCAUCGCACUGUAAGAAGCUACUGACUUCACAGAAAACCCAACUUGAAUUUCACACCUCAUAGGCUCGCUUGCUAGAUCACACACGUUCUGAAUCUUUCAGAGCUACUUUUAGAUGCACUGGUAAGUAGUUGGGGCUAUCUCCUGUAUCACACUAAGACAUCUAAUUUCAGUGUGCAUUUUUUGAAUUUUUACCUGAAUUUACAUAUAUGGAUCUCUGUACCAGAAGAAAAUCCUGACUUUGGUGGGGUAUCCUAUAGAGAUGGCAUAUAAAUUGCUGUAAAAAGCCAGUGUCUGGUCUGUUGCUUAAAUUUUAAUAUUCUAGAUUUGAGAAUCAGAAGA